rnacentral:rRNA from 1 species
UGAGGAAUACUGGUCAAUGGGCGAGAGCCUGAACCAGCCAAGUAGCGUGCAGGAUGACGGCCCUAUGGGUUGUAAACUGCUUUUAUAUGGGAAUAAAGUGAGGGACGUGUCCCUUAUUGCAUGUACCAUACGAAUAAGGACCGGCUAAUUCCGUGCCAGCAGCCGCGGUAAUACGGAAGGUCCAGGCGUUAUCCGGAUUUAUUGGGUUUAAAGGGAGCGUAGGCUGUUUGUUAAGCGUGUUGUGAAAUGUAAGAGCUCAACUUUUAGAUUGCAGCGCGAACUGGCAGACUUGAGUGCGCACAACGUAGGCGGAAUUCAUGGUGUAGCGGUGAAAUGCUUAGAUAUCAUGACGAACUCCGAUUGCGAAGGCAGCUUACGGGAGCGCAACUGACGCUAAAGCUCGAAGGUGCGGGUAUCGAACAGG